rnacentral:rRNA from 1 species
AAUAGAUACCCCGGUAGUCCACGCCGUAAACGGUGGGCACUAGGUGUGGGCAACAUUCCACGUUGUCCGUGCCGCAGCUAACGCAUUAAGUGCCCCGCCUGGGGAGUACGGCCGCAAGGCUAAAACUCAAAGGAAUUGACGGGGGGCCCGCACAAGCGGCGGAGCAUGUGGCUUAAUUCGACGCAACGCGAAGAACCUUACCAAGGCUUGACAUACACCGGAAAGCAUCAGAGAUGGUGCCCCCCUUGUGGUCGGUGUACAGGUGGUGCAUGGCUGUCGUCAGCUCGUGUCGUGAGAUGUUGGGUUAAGUCCCGCAACGAGCGCAACCCUUGUCCCGUGUUGCCAGCAACUCUUCGGAGGUUGGGGACUCACGGGAGACCGCCGGGGUCAACUCGGAGGAAGGUGGGGACGACGUCAAGUCAUCAUGCCCCUUAUGUCUUGGGCUGCACACGUGCUACAAUGGCCGGUACAAUGAGCUGCGAUACCGCAAGGUGGAGCGAAUCUCAAAAAGCCGGUCUCAGUUCGGAUUGGGGU